rnacentral:rRNA from 1 species
CGGGGUGAGUAACGCGUGGGUAACCUGCCUCAUACAGGGGGAUAACAGUUAGAAAUGACUGCUAAUACCGCAUAAGCGCACAGUACCACAUGGUACGGUGUGAAAAACUCCGGUGGUAUGAGAUGGACCCGCGUCUGAUUAGCUAGUUGGUGAGGUAACGGCUCACCAAGGCGACGAUCAGUAGCCGACCUGAGAGGGUGAUCGGCCACAUUGGGACUGAGACACGGCCCAA